rnacentral:rRNA from 1 species
ACUCAAAUGAAUUGACGGGGGCCCGCACAAGCAGUGGAGCAUGUGGUUUAAUUCGAUGCAACGCGAAGAACCUUACCCAGGAUUGAACUGUAGAGGACGAAUCCAGAGAUGGAUUUUCCCGUAAGGGUCGCUACAUAGGUGCUGCAUGGCUGUCGUCAGCUCGUGCCGUGAGGUGUUGGGUUAAGUCCCGCAACGAGCGCAACCCUUAUCGUUAGUUGCCAGCACGCGAGGUGGGAACUCUAACGAGACUGCCUAGGUUAACUAGGAGGAAGGUGAGGAUGACGUCAAGUCCGCAUGGCCUUUAUAUCUGGGGCUACACACGUGCUACAAUGGUUGGUACAGAAGGCAGCGAAGUCGUGAGAUGGAGCCAAUCCCGAAAGCCAAUCCCAGUUCGGAUUGUAGUCUGCAACUCGGCUACAUGAAGUUGGAAUUGCUAGUAAUGGCGUGUCAGCAAUAGCGCCGUGAAUACGUUCCCGGGCCUUGUACACACCGCCCGU